rnacentral:lncRNA from 1 species
AAGUAAUGGUUUCUAGCUUCAUUGUGAGCUAAAUCCAUGAUCUCUAAGCUCAUUAGGUUCUAUUUGAACCAUUAAAAUCAACAAAAACCUCCCAAAACCCAAGAUUCACAAGUUGGGGUUGAGGCUUACCUCUAGGGUUUGCUCCAAAGCAAGCCCUAGCUUGAGAAUGAGGAGGGAGAGAGCUUCACUUUCCUCUCCUUGAUCUUCUCCUUCCUUUCCUUCUUCUUCUCUUUCUUUCUUUCCUUCUUUUCUUCCUUUCCUUUUUCUACGGUUAGAGAGAGAGAGAGCAAUGUGAGAGAGAGAGAGAGAGAGCUAAGUGUGAGAAGGAGUGGCUGAGAAAGGGGGGAU